UACAGAGGGGGCAAGCGUUGUUCGGAAUUACUGGGCGUAAAGGGCGCGUAGGCGGCCGCCUAAGUCAGACGUGAAAUCCCUCGGCUCAACCGGGGAACUGCGUCUGAUACUGGGUGGCUUGAAUUCGGGAGAGGGAUGCGGAAUUCCAGGUGUAGCGGUGAAAUGCGUAGAUAUCUGGAGGAACACCGGUGGCGAAGGCGGCAUCCUGGACCGAGAUUGACGCUGAGGCGCGAAAGCUAGGGGAGCGAACAGG
rnacentral:rRNA from 1 species